rnacentral:lncRNA from 1 species
UGUUCUGAAAAAUGCUUGUUGGAUUAACAGACAAAUCCCAGGCUCCAACAAAUAAAAAGUGAGGAAAAGGAAGGAGUGAGUGACUGAAUUUAUGUGGGAGCAGCACCUGCCCUCCCACUGUCCUCUCCUGAACUUGUUCCCACCAGGGCUGGCUCCUCCCUACACGAGGGCUGCCCCACCUCCACCACUGUCUCCAUCUGGAGAGGCUACCAGGUCCUCACCAAGAAAUAACGAUCCAAGUAAAUUCCUGGAUCUUCUUCCUUUGUGCCCUUUUUCAUAGACUUGUGUCCCCAUGUGCUCCACCCCCAGAGCUAAGACAUCAAGAAAGACUGCCCAGGCAGCUUGCAGAAGUCCAGUGUGGACAAAAGAGCCCAUGGUACAGAACCCUGUAAUUCUCUGUGCCCGCCCUGGAGGCUAAAGGGAGUAAAAGCACUGCUGCUGCCAACUGCUCCGGCAGUAGCCCGAGCUUUCCCCUUCCUCUCCCCAAUCCUCAGUGGUCCUGGAUUCUGAACCUUCACAGGCGAUUUCCCGAAUCGGCUAGCUCUUCCCCAAGUGCUUACCAAGUACUCUUCAUCCUCCCCCACCACCCCAAGCACUUUAUUAUCCCCAUUCUGAGGCUCAGAGGAAAGGUCAUUUGCCCAAGGUCACAGUUAAGAAGCUACCAAACAUUAAAAUCAAAGGAUCAUCUCUAAAGUCUUGCUCUCAACCUGAUCCUGUUAUAGGAACAAAGCUUGAAGACAUAUCAUAUUACUGUAAGAUUCUAAAAAGCCCCAACAGUGGGCUUACUAUGCAGGUGCUUGAAGGGCCCCACAUGUUUGUCUCAUUUGAUCCUCUCAGCUACCCGCAAAGUAGUGGAGCCGAGAUACCAAGGGAGGAGAGGCAGCUUCAGCUUCCGGAAACCACAGCAAAUCCCCAAAGCACAAACAAAGGCCCUCAGCCAUGAGGUCACUGUUUAUAGUGCCCAGCCCAGCUCCUGCCAAACACUACCAACAGGCUCUGGUCCCUAGCUCCCUGGCACACUGGCUCCUAGACCUCAGGCUUCAAGAUGUGCUGCCACCUCUGAUUCUCAGCAAAAUGGACGGGAACUCUUGCUAUGGAGCACCCCUAGCCAGGUGCUGUCUCACACCAUGGUCAACGAAGGGCUUAGUACCCAUUCGCCACCACUGCACUCAGCAGCACCCCCAAGGAGAAGAGACUCAUCUCUCAGCACAAGUCCCCCACCCUGAGCCUGACACAGGCAGGGUCUCAACAAGCAUCUACUGAAGCCGUGAAUGAACCAAUGGUCUCCGAAUAUGAGCAGCUGUCUCCUCAAAGCCUGCCCUUCACCACAGUCCAUUUCUGACAAACAGAUGGGGGGGCAGGCCUCUGGGGAGAGGGGCCCUUCCCAGCUGCAGGCAAAAUGCGGGCCAGUCCCUCCUGGCACGGACCCACAGGAGAGAAUGAGUUGACAAAAGCGAGCCUGUGGCCUGCACAGACGUCUGCUGGGAUGUGGGCAGCAGAAGCUGGCGACUGCAGGCCUGAGGUGGGGGCAGGGAAAGGGGCUGCCGGGCAUAAGGACAGUCCCCGGAGGACAGGACCCUCAGAGGCCACACUGAGCCCAGGAAUCCUCCUCGGUCCUCAGUCCUCCAGGCUCCACCCUAGGGAAGCUCUUGGGUGACAGGCCUAACUGAGGGAGCUGUGCGGUUUGCUGGGAGUUGGGGGAGCCUGGGCUUCCCCGCUCCUUCAUAGGCAGCCCAGGGGCCCUGCAGACCUCUACUCCACCAGAAGUAAAAGAGAAGCCAACUGGUUAUAGGAGCAAGGUUGGUGGGGUCUCUCUCCAAACAUGGGAGGAACCCUGAAUCUCAUCUUCCACCAAAAGACACAAAAGGUCCUACCACCUGGCAGUACCCACCUCAGAGUGUGGGGGGCCCAAGGCCAUGCUAAAGAAACUGGGAAAUAGGGCCGGGAAUUUGGCUCAGUGGUUCUCCCACCUGCCUGGCAAGCACAAGGGCUCAAGUUUGAUCCCCAGUACCAUUAAAAAAAAAAAGAAAGAAAGAAAGAAACUGGGAAAGAGGGACAGAUCUGGUGCAGCCCACAAGCCCUGUCUUUAAGUUGCCCUCUCUUCCCCAAGAGCUGCCCCUGAAGAACACCCUGAUUCUCCAAACCAAAGUGCAAAGGGGGUGGAGGGGAAGAUGGCGGACAGGGAUAGGACACCUACUCUGCUGCCGGGCCACUCUGCUAUGGGGUUAAGCAGGUAGUUUUCUGUAAGAACACCCUUUCUCCAAACCAAAGUGCAAAGGGAAUGGAGGGGAAGAUGGCGGACAGGGAUAGGACACCUACUCUGCUGCCGGGCCACUCUGCUAUGGGGUUAAGCAGGUAGUUUUCUGUCUCCUCACUUAGUCUUGCCCCUACCCCCAGCCCUCAAAUCCACCAUGACUGAAACAAGGUCACUCCUUCCUAGUUCCAGCCCCAGGCCAGGUACAUAUGUGCAUUAUUAUUCUCUUACUAGCUCUUUGAGGCAGGAGCUGAAAAUGUUCCAAUUUUACAGAUGAGGAAAUGGAGGCUCAGAAGUUUCCCAGAGCUGCUCCAGCAAAGGAGAAGUAGAGCUGGAUUCCACAUAGGAUGAGUAGCCCUGGGCCAGGGCAUUGUAGCUGUGUGUUCUCUGGGUUUACCCAGGCUCGUCCCACACUAACAUGGCCUUCACGAGGCUAACUCUCUUCCAGAACAUUCUCCCCUAAUUUGAUUCAGACCCCACAUUGACCUCUAUGGUACCUUGUGCUAAUAACUUUAGGUUGGAUUUGUCUUGUUUUCAAUUCUGCCUUCCCUCAGGGCUGGUUCCCAACAUGGCCCGGGGCAAAAUACAGGUAGACAAAUUAUUAAAGAAAGAUUGAGUAGAAGUACAGCUGCUGCCUGUAGUCUCUCUCCACAGCCAGGGGAGUGAGCUCUCCGAAUCCUAGUUCCAGGCCUACUACAAAGGAGCAGAGGAGCCGGGGGCAGAUCCUGAGUUGUUCUCAUACCUUCAUGCCAGUCCAGGAGGGAGGCUUGUGUCUGUUUUCCCAGGAAGCCUCCGCUCCCUGCCCACAAAAUCCUCUCUCUCUGUCCACCUCCAUGAUCCCAAGGGCUGCCUGCCUGAAGCAGCCUCUCAGAAAAGAGCUGCUCCUGCCAUGGCUGGUCCCCAGAAGUCCUGGAGAACUGGUCAGGAAGAGUCUCUGGGUCCAGGCUAGGCCAAAGGGCCCAAGAUGAGCUCACACUACUGCUAAGAAUAGCCAGGCUUGAAGGGCAGCUCCACAGUUUACAAAGGCAUUCAUUCCAUCACAAUCAUCUCACAGAUCCUUGUAGAAAGCCCUGGCUCAGGGAAGCCAGGAAUGCUCAUCCCUGUUCCACAGAUGAAGAGCCUCAAAGACGUUCAGGGAAGAUGGUGGACCGUGCCCAAGCCCACCCAGAGGGGUCAAAGACCUCCAGGCAAGACACAGACCACUACCCUUAGGAUCCCUACCCUGAAUCAUGACUUAGGGAGUAUGUAAACUUGGCCAUCACCUCUCUCACUAAAAAUUACUAUUUCCUUCUAUUCUGAACCCAAGAAACAAACCAGGGUUGUUAGUAGCACCUGUGACUUUGCCACCAAAAGUAAUCACAGAUAUUUUUAUAUCCCGUAAUAGUUGUUGCAGAAAUGUCAAAAUAUUGUUUACACUCAUCAGUAUUUGAAAUUAUAGUAGUUAACAGAUCUGCC